UACAGAGGUCUCGAGCGUUAGGCGGAGUCACUGGGCUUAAAGCGUGUGUAGGUGGAUGCCUAAGUACCUUGUGAAAUCCCACAGCUUAACUGUGGAACUGCUUGGUAUACUGGGCGUCUUGAGUCACUCAGGGGCGAGCGGAACAAAUGGUGGAGCGGUGAAAUGCGUAGAUAUCAUUUGGAACGCCAAUGGUGAAAACAGCUCGCUGGGGGUGUACUGACACUGAGACACGAAAGCCAGGGGAGCGAACGGG
rnacentral:rRNA from 1 species